UACAGAGGUCUCAAGCGUUGUUCGGAAUCACUGGGCGUAAAGGGUGCGUAGGCUGUGUUGUAAGUCAGAUGUGAAAUCCCGGGGCUCAACCUCGGAACUGCAUCCGAUACUGCGAUACUUGAGGACUGGAGAGGUGUGUGGAAUUCAUGGUGGAGCAGUGAAAUGCGUAGAUAUCAUGAGGAACGCUAAUGGCGUAGGCAACACACUGGACAGUAUCUGACGCUGAGGCACGAAGGCCAGGGGAGCAAACGGG
rnacentral:rRNA from 1 species